CGCCCACUUUAGUAGGCGAGUCAUUUCCGUCCGUGGAGAAACGGAGAAAGCUGCAAGGCGAAUUGCGGGCCAGGCGCCUCGGGCGGGAUUUCCUUGGUUGGAAGUGGCCGGCUUCCAGGAUGGCCAAGGUGGAGGCCCGGGGCCGCCUGUGGCUGGAGAGCCCCCCUGGGGGAGCACCUCCCAUCUUCCUGCCCUCCGAUGGGCAAGCCCUGGUCCUGGGCCGGGGACCCUUGACACUGGUUACCGACCGGAAAUGCUCCCGAAACCAAGUGGAGCUGGUUGCAGACCCUGAGACUCGGACCGUGGCAGUGAAACAGCUAGGAGUUAACCCCUCAACUGCUGGAACCCAAGAGCUGAGGCCGGGGUUGGAGGGCUCUCUAGGGGUGGGGGACACGUUGUAUUUGGUCAACGGCCUCCACCCGUUGACCCUGCGCUGGGAAGAGGCUCGCACUCCAGAAUUGCAGCCAGACACUCCACCUGGCACGCCUCCUGUGGCCCCACACGAGGAGGAGGAGGAAGAUGCUGAGCCGCCGAAAAAGCAGAUGCGGAAGUCAUCUCCUGGCUGGGAAAGCUUUGAGAAGCUACUAGUAUUCACAGCACCUGGUGUGAAGCCGCGGGGCAAGGUGGCCAGUUUUGAUCUCGAUGGGACCCUCAUCACCACACGGUCUGGGAAGGUCUUUCCCACAGGCCCCAGCGACUGGAGGAUCUUGUACCUGGAGAUUCCGCGGAAGCUCCGGGAACUGGACGCGGAGGGUUACAAGCUGGUGGUCUUCACCAACCAGAUGGGCAUUGGACGCGGGAAGCUGCCAGCGGAGGAGUUCAAGGCCAAGGUGGAGGCUGUGGUGGAGAAGCUGGGGGUUCCCUUUCAGGUGCUGGUGGCCACGCAUGCGGGCCUGUACCGGAAGCCGGUGAUCGGCAUGUGGGACCACCUGCGGGAGCAGGGCAAUGAGGGUGUUCCCAUCUCCAUAGGAGACAGCGUCUUUGUGGGCGAUGCAGCCGGACGCCCAGCCAACUGGGCCCCGGGGCGGAAGAAGAAGGACUUCUCAUGUGCAGACCGCCUGUUUGCCCUCAACCUGGGGCUGCCUUUCGCCACCCCGGAGGAGUUCUUUCUGAAGUGGCCGGUGGCCCGCUUUGAGCUGCCAGCCUUUGACCCGAGAACCGUCUCCCGCUCUGGGCCUCUCUGCCUCCCCGAGUUCAGCGCCCUCUUAAGCCCGGACCCUGAGGUGGUCGUCGCCGUGGGAUUUCCUGGGGCCGGCAAGUCCACCUUCCUCCGGGAGCAUCUCGUGUCUGCCGGCUACGUCCACGUGAACAGGGACACCCUGGGCUCCUGGCAGCGCUGCGUGACCACCUGCGAGGCAGCUCUGAAGCAACGGAAACGGGUCGUGAUCGAUAACACGAACCCGGACCUCCAGAGCCGGGCCAGGUACAUCAAGUGUGCCCGAGACGCAGGCGUCCCCUGCCGCUGCUUCCUCUUUAGCGCCAGCCUGGAGCAGGCGCGUCACAACAACCGGGAAGCAGUUCGAAGCACCCACGCUGGCCGAAGGCUUCGCGGCUGUCCUGGAGAUCCCGUUCCGGCUGCACGUGGCGCCGCAGCUCGAGCGCCUGUACCGCCAGUUCUCAGAGGGCUGAACCGCCCCUGCCCGCUCCCAACGCCCAAUAAACGCUCUUUUCUUCAUGCAUGACCAGCACUUUGCUGGGAAGAAGGGGGGGCCCCCCAGGAGUGCUGAGGCCUGCCGGCGGGGCUUCAGAAACGUACCCUCGCGGGCUCUGCGGGUGCUCUAGCUGGGCGGCCCAGCGGACAGGCCCCAGGGGGGGUUCUCCUGGAGCUGCAGAGCCCUCCCUGGCGGGCGAGGCCAAACGCGGGACCCCAAGAGGAGAGCUGGAGAAGCCAGACGCUCUGCACCUUGGACCUGAGCCCCGGGGCUGUGGCCUGAGCCUGCAGUGGCGAGGGGGCCCCUGCGGGCAGGACCAGCAGCAAGAGGCAGGAAGCUGCGGGUCGCCGCCUUGCGUCUGUGCCCAGCUAUGUGACACCGGGAGGAAGAGCAGGGUUCCGGGAGCCGGCCCUGCUGCCGCGAAGUCAGCCCUGGAAGACCCGGCCCAACAAGCAGCACCCAGACCCAAAGCCCGUCCCCACCUGGCUCAGGUUCCGCUGCAGGACCUGCUGCUGAUUGGCGAUGACGCGCCGGAUGCCGUUGACGAAGUUGCCCUGGUCGUGGGGGAUGAGGCCGAUGAAGAUCUUCUUCUCCGAGGAGUACAGGAGCAUGAGCACGCGCACCUCACACGAGGCCUUGUAGGAGAAGUGCACACAGCCCGCCUGGUGGCGCAGAGCAGGGUCACGGGCGGCCCUGGGCCCAGAGGCUCCUCACCGCCCUCGUGAUGCGCACAAACCACACGGCUCCGCUGGCCCUGCAGAGCACGCCACACGCCUGCCCCCCUCCGCCCUGUCGCUGCUCCCAGCUGGGGACACCAGGAACCAGAGAGGCCUGCCCACCGGCUCUGCAGCCCAGCCCCGAGUCUCCUCCACGAGCUCUGGGGAGAUGGGUGGAUGGGAGCCACCAGGCUGGCGCCCCGGACACCCCCAGGACCAGCGGUGCCCAUGAAGGCCUCGCGGGGGAAGAAAUACCGGGUCCAAUCCAGUGUUCAGGCUCCCUCCAUGUGGCAACCCCCAGAGGCAGCUGAGGCACCAGGAGGCCACGCCACUGUCACCUCCACUCAGCUCGGGGAUGUGGCUCCAGGUCACACUGGCCGGAACGUCAAGGAGCCCAGUGGACCGACCACUCCCUGAGCCCCUUUGCCAGAUCCCCUCUCUGCAGGCUGGAGAUCACUGUGCGCACCUCACAGGUGGGCAAACCGAGGCUAAGCUUCAGGAUUUGCAGGCUCCCAGAGCCAGAUGGGAUCGUGUCUACCCUCGGCCCUGUGUGCCACCUUAGGGGACAGUGGUGACAUGUCCAGGAGGAAGCCCUUCACAGUGCCCACCUGAGGCGACAGCCUGACGGGAGGCCCAGAGGGCCGAAAGGAGGGCUGGCCGCCAGGCUCACGGCCUUUAAAAGCAUGAGUUCCCUCAGGGAACUGACGACACGCGAGAGGUACAGGACUGGCCCCUCAAAUGCCUGAUGGCACAACUGUGACAGGGGACAGCUGCGGAUUCAGGAGCACAGAAGUCUCUCACCCUCCUCACUUCGCGGAAACUGAGGCCCAGAGAGGGAAAUGGACCUGGCCCACACCCACCAGCAGGUAACCCCUGGGGGCUUCAAGGAGCGGCCUGCCUGGUGAGGGCCCUGGGGGAGCCUGGGGGUUUCCACUGGAAAACCCGGAGUGACAUGACGGCACCCUGUCCCUGGGCAGCGAGCAGGAGGAAGGCCACAGGGGAGGACCUGGGAGCCUGGUGUGGGCAUCCUGCUCCACUGAGUAAACCGACACACAGCAGCCCGGAGGCCAGGCUGGCUGGCUCAGCCUCUGGGCCUCUGGCCUCCAUCUCCCCAUCGGUGCAGCGGGGUCAGGGGAGCCCUUGUCGGGGCGCACAGCAAUCCCACCCCACCUUCACCAUGGCUGCCCUCACGCCCCCCUGCUGUUUACGGGGGGACCCGUCCCCCUUCCAGUUUCUGGCCCUGCGGUCCACCGCUGCCCCUGCCGCCCACUCACGAAGCCGUUGUCCAUGAUGCGGCACAGGCUCUUCAGUGUCUCCAGGUCCUUGGUGAAGUGGAACUGCACCAAGCGGGAGUUCCGGAAGAGGGGCACCAGCGUGGUCUGCGGGGAGGCCCGGGGGCCCGGCCUGUGAGGCGCUGCAGCCGCGCCCCCGCCUCUGCCCCCACCCGGGGGCCGGCCCCACGUGGCCCCUCAGACCUGUGGCCCCUCCAAGCUGGCCCUGCGGGACCCGCCACCCCCGCCCGCCUCCAGCCACAGGGCCUGUGCACACAGGGCUCCCCUCCUGCCGGCGCCCCAGGGCGCCGGCUCAGGAAAGCGCCCCUGCCAGCCCCGUGGCUGCGGCGCCCCUUGCCACUCACCAGCAGCUGCUGCGGGAUGAGCUGCAUGUACAGCUUCCGGGGCCACUGCUCGGUCCGCCUGCAGUGGGAGGGGACGAGGGUCAGGAGGCCAGGUCUCCCCGGAAGGCUGCCUCCCUCCCCUGCCCGACACUCACAGGAUCUCCCCUUGGUUCACGUAGACGUGCGACGGCAGCCACCUCUUAGACCGGCUGUUGGGCUCAGGCCUGGGCUUUUGGGGAGAAGAAGGGAACCAUCAGGAUGGGAGGCGCCCGAGCCCGGGAGGACCCGUGUCCCCGGGCUGCUCAGGGCUCACCUCUUGCCACUCCAUGACUCCACUCCAGGCCAGGAACUUGUUGUUGACGAUCUGGACGGGCCCCGCCACGCCCCCGGGUCCCACUGCCUGGGAGGAAACCCAGCCCAUCAGCCCCCAGGCUCAGGGACUGCCCCAGAGCUCCCAGGGGCCCCUGGUGCCCUGGGACAGGUCCCACCCUGCGAGCCUGGGACACAGACCCGAGGCUCCCUGGUUCUGCCACUAGGAAUGGUGCAGCCCUGUGACUUGCUGCACAAACUGGGACACUUUUGGGGGAGGGGGACCGUGGACAAUUGCUAAGGCGUGAGCCAGGACACACAGCACCGUCCCCCCACCUCCCCGGGGAUACCCCUGCUGCGGAGACCCACCAGGGAGCCCCUCUGCCCCCCUGUUCUUCAAAGCUUCCCCAGCACAUCUGGUGGCCAGGGCCCGAGGAGGACACACCUGUUUGCGGGUGGUAAUGACCUGCCGGAUGGCGUUGACGAAGCCGCUCUGGUCGUAGGGGAUGAGGCCCAUGAAGAUCUUCUUCUUGGACGAGUACAGGAGCAUGAGCACGCGCACCUCGCAGGGCGAGAUGUGGGGGAAGAGCAUGCAGCCCGCCUGCGGGGAGGGCGGGGGUCAGGGACCCCACCUCCAUGAAGCCGGGGGAGGGAGGCCGUCCUCCAGUCGACACUGGCGCCCAAAAUGAAGUGGUGUGUGGCCAAGACACGUUCUGGGAAUUUGUGAUGUGAGCCUCGGUGUCCCCCAACUGUGAAUCUGGGGCCGGGGGGUGGGGGGGGUGUGGAUGGGUGUGUGGGGGGGGUCAUGAGAGGGCUCCAUCACCCCGUGCCCCGCCAGGCCAGCCCUCUCCUGCGGGUUAAAAGCACGGACACAGACCAGACUGCUUGGGAGUAAACCCAGCUCUGCUACCUCCUAGCCAACCAUCUAAGGCCUCGGUUUUCCUGUCCCUAAAACGGCAUAAAAACAGUGUACCCAGUAA